CUACACACGUCAUACAAUGGCUGGUAACGAAAGGGUUGACCCAACCCGCGAGGGGGAGCCAAUCCCAUAAAGCCAGUCGUAGUCCGGAUCGCAGUCUGCAACUCGACUGCGUGAAGUCGGAAUCGCUAGUAAUCGUGGAUCAGCAUGUCACGGUGAAUACGUUCCCGGGUCUU
rnacentral:rRNA from 1 species